CCUACGGGAGGCAGCAGUAGGGAAUCUUCCACAAUGGACGAAAGUCUGAUGGAGCAACGCCGCGUGAGUGAAGAAGGGUUUCGGAUCGUAAAGCUCUGUUGGUAGUGAAGAAAGUUAGAGGUAGUAACUGUUCUUUAUUUGACGGUAUUUACUUAGAAAGUCACGGCUAACUACGUGCCAGCAGCCGCGGUAAUACGUAGGUGGCAAGCGUUGUCCGGAUUUAUUGGGCGUAAAGCGCAUGCAGGCGGUUCUUUAAGUCUGAUGUGAAAGCCUUCGGCUUAACCGGAGAAGUGCAUCGGAAACGGGGGGACUUGAGUGCAGAAGAGGAGAGUGGAACUCCAGGUGUAGCGGUGGAAUGCGUAGAUAUAUGGAAGAACACCAGUGGCGAAGGCGGCUCUCUGGUCUGCAACUGACGCUGAGGUUCGAAAGCAUGGGUAGCGAACAGGAUUAGAUACCCGAGUAGUC
rnacentral:rRNA from 1 species